rnacentral:rRNA from 1 species
AUUGAACGCUGGCGGCAGGCCUAACACAUGCAAGUCGAACGAGUGGCGGACGGGUGAGGAAUGUCUGGGAAACUGCCUGAUGGAGGGGGAUAACUACUGGAAACGGUAGCUAAUACCGCAUACCAUCAGAUGUGCCCAGAUGGGAUUAGCUAGUCGGUGGGGUAACGGCUCACCUAGGCGACGAUCCCUAGCUGGUCUGCGAGGAUGACCAGCCACACUGGAAUUGAGAAACGGGCCAGACUCCGACGGGAGGCAGCAGUGGGGAAUAUGGCACAAUGGGCGCAAGCCUGAUGCAGCCAUGCCGCGUGGAUGAAGAAGGCCUUCGGGUUGUAAAGUACUUUCAGCGGGGAGGCGUUACCCGCAGAAGAAGCACCGGCUAACUCCGUGCCAGCAGCCGCGGUAAUAC